AGAGUUUGAUGAUGGCUCAGAUUGAACGCUGGCGGCAUGCUUAAUACAUGCAAGUCGAACGGUAACAGAUUCUUCGGAAUGCUGACGAGUGGCGGACGGGUGAGUAAUACAUAGGAAUCUGCCCAUGUAGUGGGGGACAACUUGGGGAAACUCAAGCUAAUACCGCAUAAUUCCUACGGGAUAAAGAGGGCCACUGCUUGCAAGCUCUUGCUACUGGAUGAGCCUAUGUCGGAUUAGUUAGUUGGUAAGGUAAUGGCUUACCAAGACAGCGAUCCGUAGCUGGUUUGAGAGGAUGAUCAGCCACACUGGGACUGAGACACGGCCCAGACUCCUACGGGAGGCAGCAGUAGGGAGUAUUGGACAAUGGGCGCAAGCCUGAUCCAGCAAUGCCGCGUGUGUGAAGAAGGCCUGCGGGUUGUAAAGCACUUUCAAUUGGGAAGAAAGAUUAUGAGUUAAUACCUUAUAAUAUUGACGUUACCAAUACAAGAAGCACCGGCUAACUCUGUGCCAGCAGCCGCGGUAAUACAGAGGGUGCGAGCGUUAAUCGGAAUUACUGGGCGUAAAGAGUACGUAGGUGGUUAAAUCAGUCGGAUGUGAAAGCCCCAGGCUUAA
rnacentral:rRNA from 1 species